AGGCUCUCUCUUCAGGGAUGACAUCAUCGGCUCACACCAGUCUUCCAGGACCACCUUCCAGAUGCCAAGGCUGCUGCUCGAGUACCUGCUGUGCAUCUCUACCUCCUGGUACCACAGCCACUCCCUCAAGUUGUCUGCAUGUUAUAUGGCCUAGCCAAGGAGCAUGGAUUCCAGGAACCCACUACCAUUCAGAGCAACUCCUCGUGGACCCCCUCCCCCCCCCGAUCAGGACAGCGAGGGACAAGAGACAAAGAGGAUCAUCAGUGGCCAGCUAGUCUCUCUGGGGUUCAAACCUUGAACCAGUGCCCUAGUGAGGGGGCACUGGCCAUGACCCUUGACCUUUGCUCUGCUUGUGUCUUGAGUCUGAGUCCUUUCCUGUACAUCUGUGCUUGUGUUCAUCUGCUAGUGAACUGGAGUGCUGCCCUCCCCGAGGGGGGUCGUCCCUUGUGACUGACCAUGCUGUCCUAACAAUGGCCUGAGCAAAAGGGUCCCAUUGGGAACCUCUCAGGAGGGGGACCCGGGUCAGGGGCGACCAGCAUCUUGCUGGCAACUCCGUGGGUGGGGUGGGGCGGGGUGCUUCCUUCUGGAAUGAGCACGUGGCUGACCCCAAAGGCAUGUCCCCUCCCCCUCCUCCACCCACCUUCUCAGAGAUGUCCCUUUUGGGGUAGUGGGGACAUUAGGAGCAACCUCCUAGGGUUGUUGUGAGAAUUAAAUGAACUGCAGCAGCCUGAGGCAGGGCUGGGCAGAGACCUCA
rnacentral:lncRNA from 1 species